ensembl:lncRNA
GGAGCCCGCCGGGGCACCGCCAGCGUCGGCCGCGCCGGCCAUGGAUCCCUUGCCCAAAGACGGCGAGAGCGCGGCGGCCGGGGAGCCCAGCCGGGGCGCCGGCUCCUCCAGCGGGGUGGUGGUGCAGGUCCGGGAGAAGAAGGGCCCCCUGCGCGCCGCCAUCCCCUACAUGCCGUUCCCCGUGGCUGUCAUCUGCCUCUUCCUCAACACCUUCGUGCCAGGGCUGGGAACACUUGUAUCAGCUUUCACGGUGCUGUGUGGAGCCCGGACCGACCUCCCUGACAGGCACAUGUGUUGCGUCUUCUGGCUGAACAUUGCCGCUGCACUGAUUCAGAUCCUGACGGCAAUCGUGAUGGUUGGCUGGAUUAUGAGUAUAUUUUGGGGGAUGGACAUGGUCAUUCUUGCAAGGUCUUCACGUAGUCAUCUCUGCUGAUGACAUCUCUGUGGGAGGAGGAUCUCAGGAAACUGCCAGGCACCAGCAAAACAAUUAAAUGGAUGAAACUGAAAAGAACAGCAGGAAAACAGAGCAGAUUUUCAGAUGCCAAACCCAUCGGUUAAACCCGUCCACCAAACCACCUGCUACUUUCUGAGCCAGCUUCAAUUUACAGGCUGAGUUCAGGGUGAUCCACAUACACAGUAAGAUGAUGUGAACAUGAGUGAAACAAAAGGCUUUCCUCAAGACAAAGGCAGCACUACACUUUGUUUUCCCCUGCAAACCAGCAGAAGUUUCAUCUCAGAGGUACCUGCAUGUUGGGUAGCCUGAUGAGGAUAACAUGCUACAAGGAGCAGGGGAUCCCACAGCAGCUGUAGUGGCUGGGACAAAUAUGUUCAGAGAAACACGGCAAGAGAUUUCCUUUGGCAGCCGUGGGCCACGGACCUUUUCACUACCCUUUGUCUUUCUUCUUCCUUUUGUUUUGUGUUCGGCCCUGUCCACCUGCCCAUCCAGCGGAGCGGAGGUGCAGAACAGCAGAAGGAGACUUGCACUGAGUGAGGAGCAGAGAUGGGGCAAACGCAGCGUGCAUUGGGACCAGCCCCAGCCAGAGUGCGGUGGGUGGUCGAGGAGGAGGAAAAGGAGUGUGCCGAGAGGAGGAAACCCCCCGGUGAAGGUGGCUCCUGGGCAGGCAGCAGAGCUGGGAGAGAGGGGAAUGGGAGAUAUUGCUCCCUCUGUCCUCCCAGCAGGAAGUGGUCAAAGACAUUUUGCCUCCUGUUAUAUGUUUUUGCCUCCUGUUACAUUAAAGAAAACCAGCUGUGAACAUCAAAUGCCAAGGAGCUAUCAAUAGACAAACGUACAGCCUGUAAAAGCAACAAGCGUUACUUUUUUCCCUUCUGAGAGCCCGUUCUUGACUGCUUGGUGGCAGCAGAGGGCUCAGCCCAGCUUCCUCAGCUGUGUACCUUUGAAGCUCUAUCAUUGCAGAUGUCUUGAGAAAUGUGCUUGCUGUGAAUUGUAUUUUACUCUUAAACUGAGUUGGGCUGUCCUCUACUUCGAUCCGCUGGCUCCACGCAAGCACCAGACCUCCCACUGGCCCCGGGAAGCUCCUACCAGCGGGAGACGGGGAUCCCCUGUGUGCCGCCGGCGUGGCAGUGGGACAAGCCCUGCGCUGCCAAAAACCUCCGGUGUAAAGACUUCUCCUCCCCUUCCCCUGGAAGGAACCCGCUGUCAGUCUCUCCUUGGUUUGGACAUGGAUCCCUGCGCAGCGUGUCCCGCAGGACCAGUCGAUGGAGCAUCUCUGCUCUGCUCCCCAGGGGUAAGUGCCUGACACUUGAGGAUUGUGCCCUGGUGCUGCUCAGGCACUAGGUGGUGGUUGUGGCCAAGGCACAGAGCUGCAUGCUCACGGUGGGACUGCAGAGCUGCAGCUGCCGUCUGGGUCCUUUGUUCCUGGCUGCCUUUUUGGCAGGGCGAGAGGGGCUGUGCUGGGGCAGGUAGGACCUGCUGGGAGCCCCUUGGGAAAAGAAGGGGGGAGGUGGGAGGCAGGAGAGAGAGUGCGUGUGUGUGUGUCUGUCCGUCCGUCCUUAGCAAAAAGAAAUCCCAUUGCCUUCACCAGGAUGUACCCAAGCAGACACCUGAGUUGCUCCUCAGCUGUCGUUUCGGCAGGGAGGCAGCAUGCAGCAUGCAUCCCCUGCUGUGCAAGGGCCCGGCCUCUCACAGCACGACCGAUGGCUUUGGAAAGCACAUUUCGAAGCACACUGGUGUGCUUGCAGCGCAGACCCUGUCACUUAGGAUAACUUUUUUUCUGGAAAGGGAGCCUCGAAGUGAACCAGCAGAGAGUGCACUGAGCAUACGUGCCUCCUCCUCUGACCGCCUGCACAGCAGAGAACAGAAACCCCAAAAUGCUGGGUGCAGUGAAAGGUACACCAGGUGUACACCAGGACAGCCCUUCUAGAGUAAGGAUGCCCAUCUGUAACACGUGCAGCUCACUCAGUAUUUACUGAGACAGACUUCAGCCAAGCCAGUAUAACUUGCACCCUUUGUGUGUGUACAGAAGCCAGCUGGGGCAUGAGUGCAGCAUGCCUGAGUCCACACGCUCAAAUAAACGCAUGCACAACUGCCUUGGCA